UGUGGUGAUAUAAUGGAGUAGCAUGUCCACA
rnacentral:piRNA from 1 species